AUUGAACGCUGGCGGCAGGCCUAACACAUGCAAGUCGAGCGGAUGAGUGGAGCUUGCUCCAUGAUUCAGCGGCGGACGGGUGAGUAAUGCCUAGGAAUCUGCCUGGUAGUGGGGGACAACGUUUCGAAAGGAACGCUAAUACCGCAUACGUCCUACGGGAGAAAGUGGGGGAUCUUCGGACCUCACGCCAUCAGAUGAGCCUAGGUCGGAUUAGCUAGUUGGUGAGGUAAAGGCUCACCAAGGCGACGAUCCGUAACUGGUCUGAGAGGAUGAUCAGUCACACUGGAACUGAGACACGGUCCAGACUCCUACGGGAGGCAGCAGUGGGGAAUACUGGACAAUGGGCGAAAGCCUGAUCCAGCCAUGCCGCGUGUGUGAAGAAGGUCUUCGGAUUGUAAAGCACUUUAAGUUGGGAGGAAGGGCAGUAAGUUAAUACCUUGCUGUUUUGACGUUACCAACAGAAUAAGCACCGGCUAACUUCGUGCCAGCAGCCGCGGUAACAC
rnacentral:rRNA from 1 species